UACGGGGGGGGCAAGCGUUGUUCGGAAUUACUGGGCGUAAAGGGCUCGUAGGUGGCCAACUAAGUCAGACGUGAAAUCCCCAGGCUCAACUUGGGAACUGCGUCUGAUACUGAAGAUCUUGAGUUCGGGAGAGGUGAGUGGAACUGCGAGUGUAGAGGUGAAAUUCGUAGAUAUUCGCAAGAACACCAGUGGCGAAGGCGGCUCACUGGCCCGAUACUGACGCUGAGGCACGAAAGCGUGGGGAGCAAACAGG
rnacentral:rRNA from 1 species